rnacentral:lncRNA from 1 species
AAGAGCUCAACUGUGGUAGGUCAACUGGGGGCAAGAAGCAAGAAGGGGUUGAAGACAGAAGAGGAAUUCUGCCCACAUCACGCAUCUGCAGAGAUGCUCCUGCAGAUCUGAUCUACAUGCAACAGAAGCCAUAUCCAUCUGUCAUAUGACAAGAUGGAGGUGCCCAAGAUACCGCUUUCUUUGCAGUGGAAGCCAUCUUCAACUGUCCUGCCCUCCAUCUGUGCCCAACAGCUACAUUGUGUCAGGGCAAGGUGAAUGCCUGGCCAUGCCUAUAGAUGCUACACAGCCUGGAGCAGA